GUGCUCACUUUGGUAGCACAUGUACUAAAAUUGGGAUGAUACAGAGAAGAUUAGCAUGGCCCCUGCUCAAGAAUGAUAUGCAAAUUUGUGACACAUUCCAUAUUUAU